AGCCCAGUAGCUCAACUGGAUAGAGCCGUGGAAUCAGCCGCGAGGUUGGGAGUUCGAGUCUCCCCUGGGUUU
rnacentral:tRNA from 1 species